UGAAUCACAAGCACAUUCAUGGAAGAGCAUCCAGGUUAAUGAGAACUUGAGGAGAGAGCAAACUUACAAAUUAUUUUGAAAUCUUGAAUCCCCCGAAGUGAAUUGUCUGAAAGUACACUUGGAACGGACCAAGUAGGACAGGUUCUUUUGGUAGAGUGUGCAUCUUGUUCUUUUGGUAGGGUGUGCAUCUUGGUAAUGGAGCUUUCCCUUAUGAUAAAGACAUAACGAGAAAACCUACAUGUGACAAGGAUGUGGAUUAGAACUGGAGGCAGAGAAAUGCAUGGCAAAGCCAGCUUAUCCUGGGGAAGGGCUGGAAGGAGUUUGCGUGGCAGAUCAAAGAUGAAUUCAUGAGGUGAAGAGACUGGAUUGUGUGAGAAAUAAUUUCACUAAAGCUUCAUGCUUAGGUACUAUAGUAUUGUUGGGAAAAACAGGUUCACUGUGUGGGAGUCUCCCUUACUACUUUCCUUCCUAAUUGAAACCCUGACCCUGACUGAGAGGGGAAAGGUUGCACUGGGGAACCUGUGCUUUGAGUGCUGAUGCGACACCACUUGUAACAGCAGCAGCAAUAGUGACCCCUUGAUCAUUAAAAGGCAAACACCCUCCUCCUACACACACCUGCAGCAAGUCUCUAACCCAUGGUUAAGUUGUAAAGGGACCUUUGGCAGAGAAUAAACUGAAAUCAAAGGAGUUCUGAGAACAGCUGCUUUCCCUAGAGCAUCAAAGAAAAAACAAAAGCAGUUGCUUUCUCAGAAGCAUGGUGUGAUCUAAUUACUUGUGUUGACUCCAUGUUUUCUAUGGUGUUUCAUUGUUAGCAUAUGGUAUUACUUCCUGUCAUGGGCGCAAGUGUCUUUUGUGCGUUAUUGAAGAACUUAACCACGAUACGACAUUGUUUCCACAGGUGAAUUGUUUCCAAGUUUUCACCAACUGAAUUAGAAACAAACUUGCUGAUCAAAUGAAUCUCUUCUGAUUAGAACUACUUAUAUUAUACAGUGUGUCUAACAGAGGAUUCUUAAUGGGCACUGCUGGUCCUCCACCCAGAUUCACUUGGAUCCUUUGACCAUUUCUGCAUACCCCUCUUCAGGCUUCGGCGUGCUUCUAUCUGCAAAGAUCUGCACCUGCAACUCCUCUUCUGAGCCUUGACCUUAGACUCCAGAGCUGCUUUGCUUGGGAAGUACCUGAGAGUUUAUGCCUUCCAAGGUGAUUUUUAGCCAGUGACGGGUGCACGUGGAAGUGUGAGAGCCCAGCUCCCUUGUUUCAGGGCAAAGCUGCUCUGAGGUGUAACAUAUGCCAAGCCAUCUGAUUUCUUCAACAAAUAUUUGGCAAGCAAAAGAGGUCUUGGCUGUAAGAGCUCUCCAUGCUACAGCUUUGACAAAUUGCAUAUUUAUGGUUUAGUGGGACGCUUAUCCCUUGUCAGUUUUGUACAUUGGUAAUUAGAUAUAGAAGUUUCAUUGAAUUCAGCUCUUUUUUCCUUGUUCUCAAAAAAUAUCUCAUAAUUGGGAAUCUGUACUUCGCCUUACAUCGGAAGGCCCAUAAUGUCAAGUUCAGGUUUUGCCAGCCUAAUCCAGUCAUUAUAAAAUUCACUAUCAAUCUUUCACCUGGAGGCUUUAGCAGCCAAUGGUGAGUGUUAACCACCAAUAUCGUUUUGUUACAUGUUGCCAAAUAGUGAAUUCCAAUUCUAUUGCUUCUGCAUUUGGUAGCUGGAAUUCACCUCUAAAGAACAUUCUCUCACUAUUUGGUAACCCUGAAAUAUAAUUUGUAUAAGAAGUCCUUGAUUCUUCUAUUUGCAGACUUUUGGAACAAUGACUUGGUAUCCUAGCAACCUUCAGAGGUGACCAAUUAAAGGAGUAUUUUUAUAGAAAAAUUCUUGAAGAAUUCUUAGAUUGUUACAUAUUUGAUACAUUUUAAUCCAUUGAGGUAAUUACUCUUUUUGAUGAUUAAAUUGUGCCAUCUUUGGCCAUUAAGACUACAUUCACAUGGGCUCCUGUAGCUUUCUAGCACCAUCUCACAUACAAAGCAUUCCCAGGUCUUGUAUAAUUUCUUCCCCAGACAUGAAGUUAGUCAUUUUUCUAAGGAACUUGAUUUC
rnacentral:lncRNA from 1 species